rnacentral:tRNA from 1 species
GGGGUUGUGGCUCAGUGGUAGAGCGCUCACCUAGCAUGUGCGAGACACUGGAUUCGAUCCUCAGCACCGCA